rnacentral:lncRNA from 1 species
GGUUCUCCUCUCCUCCCUGCAGCUCUAGUAUUCUCAGGGAUGAGCCAGCCAGGUCUGGUAAUAUCAUGAGGAGGUAGAAAAAGCAUUCCCAUGACAGCUCCUCCCCUCCCCUCCCCCCGCCACCUCUCCCCACACCCCAGGCUAAUCUGGCUUUUAAGGUGCCACCUACUGGCCCAGAAGGAUCUCCCUUCCCCCGCUGAGGCCCCUGUCGGAGAGCCCUUGGUCAUCCAAUUUCAAUAUUCCUCUCUACAAUCUCCCUUUGCAACUUGGCAUCCUACAUCUCCUUCCCUGAGGUAUAACAACAUGAGAAUGGAUAGACACAUUGUAAUGUGACCUUUUAAAAAAGAAUGACCUGUAUGUAAAAAUCCAUCAGCGCCUCCUAAAAAAUGCAAAACCCCACAAAAGGCUCUGACUCAUGGUUGGGAGCAGCAACGGGCACACCUGAAUAGAUUUUUCUAAUUUGACUGGCAAAAAAUUUCUCUCUGAAUCUCCCCUCAUAGUAUGUAGUUUCUACCACCAUCCCCCCCAAAAAACCCACUUUGCAUUAUUAGGAGAGAUCAUAAUGGCUGUUCCAACAGAAUGUGGAUGACAGAAUCUGCUUCUGAAAAUGCUACCAUGUGUAGUAUUUUGUUGUUUCCUGCUUAUUAAUACAAUACAUUUUGCCUCUGAGUCAAAUGUUUUUCCUUCUGCCAAGAAAAAUCGUGAGUUACAGGAAAUCUAACAGGCUUAAUUAGUGAGGAGUUUAACUUAAGCCAGUGGUUUUGCAAUCACCCCAGCCCAAGUCAGGCUCACUCCCUGCAUUUAGUGGGAAAUAAGUGGUAGGAAAUGGCCUUCAGCAACCUUGUUAGAGAAAAGGCACUGUACCAGCAAGGCUGGUUCUCCCAAGGUAAAAAAUGGCAGGUUGAGGUCACUGUAAUUAUCAACAGUGCUUUUUGCAUGCAGGUUCCUAUUACAUAUGUCACCUGUUACUUUCAACUUUCUGUAAUUACAGUUUCUUCUGGUGAGAUUGCGCUGCUUUCCCUGCUUUUUACCAACCAGCACACUUGGGAGAAAAUCAUUCAUGGCCCCUUGAGUUUGCCCUCCUCAGACAUACGUUUUAGUGCUACCAUUCUGUGGCUCUGUGGAAGAAGUGCUUUCUGAUAAAGUUUGCAAGUCAACUCCAAGGUGAAGUGAAGGGCUCCGGGAUCAGAGAGUGACUUCCCACCUAAUGAGAUGGAAACAAAUAAUUCAACCCAAAGAGGUAAGGCAAUAAGAGCGACCUGGAUUUAUGUCUGUUUCUUCUGCUGUGUCCUUGCUCUGUGACCUUGGACAAAUCACUUAACCUCUCUGAGCCCCCGUUUUCUCAUUUGUAAAAACAGACCUGAGAUGGUUAUGUAAGGUGUUAACAUCGGGGGAAACUGAGUUAUCCUUGCAACUGUUGUGUAAAUCUAGAAUUAUUCCAAAGUUUAAAUUUUUCUUAUUUAAAAAAAAUAGGCAGAAGGGCAAUUACCUUGGGAGACUGUGAAGAUAAAAUGAGAUAAAGAGGUGUGGAAAGCAUGUAGUUCGGUGCUUUUCUUUUGCCCCCCCAGGCAUCUCCCUUCACCUACACCUUCAAACUCGCUGAACACCUGGAGAAUCAGGAGGUAUGUUUUCUGGACUGCAAUGCCAGCAGGUUCACCAGCCUGACAGCACUGUAAUUCAGAGCCUUGCUGCCAAGCCAAAACCCUCCCAGCAAGAAGGUUGGUUUUACAUGGUCCUAGGAUCUAAUAAAUGUGUCACACGUUGCCA